GACAGAGGGUGCAAACGUUGUUCGGAAUUACUGGGCGUAAAGCGAGUGUAGGCGGUUUGGAAAGUCGGAUGUGAAAGCCCCGGGCUCAACCCGGGAAGUGCACUCGACACUCCCAAGCUAGAGUAUCGGAGAGGUUGGUGGAAUUCUCGGUGUAGAGGUGAAAUUCGUAGAUAUCGAGAGGAACACCGGUGGCGAAGGCGGCCAACUGGACGAAUACUGACGCUGAGACUCGA
rnacentral:rRNA from 1 species